rnacentral:rRNA from 1 species
UCAGGCGGCUGUAGCACGAGGGUUCCACCUCUUACCUUUCCGAACAGAGAAGUUAAGCCUCGUAACGCCGAUGGUACUGCAACAGUGGAAGAGUAGGUAGCUGCCGGAU